CCUUAGCCCUGAUUGCAGUGGAAAUCCUUUUUAUUUUUUCUUAAAAAUAAAAAGAUUGAAGCGGAAAGCAGGAAACAGC
rnacentral:sRNA from 1 species